rnacentral:rRNA from 1 species
GUAUUGCACCUACCGAAGACUAUCAAACUCCGAAUGCCGUCAUCUUAUACUUGGGAGUCAGACUGUGGGGGAUAAGAUUCAUAGUCGAAAGGGCAACAGCCCAGAUCGUCAGCUAAGGUCCCUAAAUGUAAGUUAAGUGGUAAAGGAUGUGGGAUUGCACAGACAACCAGGAUGUUGGCUUAGAAGCAGCCACUCAUUCAAAGAGUGCGUAAUAGCUCACUGGUCGAGUGAUCCUGCGCCGAAGAUUUCCGGGGCUAAAACUUACUACCGAAGCUACGGCAUCAGUAAUGAUGGGUAGGGGAGCUUCCCAUACGGGUUGAAGCAUGACCGUAAGGACAUGUGGACAGUAUGGGAGUGAGAAUGUUGGCAUGAGUAGCGAGAUGUGGGUGAGAAUCCCACAGGCCGUAAAC